rnacentral:rRNA from 1 species
AGUGAACGCUGGCGGUAGGUCUAACACAUGCCAGUCGAACGGCAGCACAGUAAGAGCUUGCUCUUACGGGUGGCGAGUGGCGGACGGGUGAGGAAUACAUCGGAAUCUACUUUUUCGUGGGGGAUAACGUAGGGAAACUUACGCUAAUACCGCAUACGACCUACGGGUGAAAGCAGGGGAUCUUCGGACCUUGCGCGAUUGAAUGAGCCGAUGUCGGAUUAGCUAGUUGGCGGGGUAAAGGCCCACCAAGGCGACGAUCCGUAGCUGGUCUGAGAGGAUGAUCAGCCACACUGGAACUGAGACACGGUCCAGACUCCUACGGGAGGCAGCAGUGGGGAAUAUUGGACAAUGGGCGCAAGCCUGAUCCAGCCAUACCGCGUGGGUGAAGAAGGCCUUCGGGUUGUAAAGCCCUUUUGUUGGGAAAGAAAAGCAGCAGGUUAAUACCCCGCUGUUCUGACGGUACCCAAAGAAUAAGCACCGGCUAACUUCGUG